rnacentral:rRNA from 1 species
GUCUUUUAGAUUAUAAUUUAAAGUCUGGCCUGCCCUAUGAAAAAUUAAAUGGCCGCAGUAUUUUGACUGUGCAAAGGUAGCAUAAUAAUUAGUUUUUUAAUUGAAAGCUGGAAUGAAAGGUUGAACGAAAAAAUAUCUGUCUCAAUUUAAUUUAAUUAGAAUUUUAUUUUUUAGUAAAAAAGCUAAAAUAAAUUUUAAAGACGAGAAGACCCUAUAGAGUUUUAUAUUUUAAUAUUAUAUAUUUUAUAGAAUUAUUUUAUGAUUUUAAAUAUUUUAUUGGGGUGAUAAAUAAAUUUAAAUAACUUUAUUAAUUUCUUACAUUAAUAUAUGAUUUAUUGAUCCAUAAAAAUGAUUAAAGAUUAAAUUACCUUAGGGAUAACAGCGUUAUUUUUUUUUAGAGUUCUUAUCGAAAAAAAAGAUUGCGACCUCGAUGUUGGAUUAAAAUUUAUUUAUGGUGUAGAAGCUAUAAUAUUAGGUCUGUUCGACCUUUAAAAUUUUACAUGAUCUGAGUUUAAACCGGUGUGAGCCAGGUUGGUUUCUAUCUUAAAAUAAGUAAAAUAUUUUAGUACGAAAGGACCAAAUAUUUAUAAAAUUUAUUAAAUUUUGAAUAC